rnacentral:tRNA from 1 species
AAGAUUUUAAGUUAAAUAAACUCUUGGCCUUCAAAGCCGACAAUGGAAAUAUCCAAAUCUUG